rnacentral:lncRNA from 1 species
CAGCGAGUGUGCUCUGUCCUAUGCCUCGUACCAUCAACACCAUGAUAUAACUGAGCGAUGAUAUGCUUUAUGUAGCGUGUCAUGAGUGGCGGCUUGGAAAAAGAAUUUUAUUUCUGGAACCAGUACGUUGGGGGAAAGAUGGGCAUAUAUAUAAUUAUAGGGUUAGAGGUCGGUAGAAAAAUAAUAUAUUUUAUUAUUUUUAGAAUUAAUUUAUUUCGUGGAUA